GACGAACGCUGGCGGCGUGCUUAACACAUGCAAGUCGAACGGUAAGGCCCUUCGGGGUACACGAGUGGCGAACGGGUGAGUAACACGUGGGUGAUCUGCCCUGCACUUCGGGAUAAGCCUGGGAAACUGGGUCUAAUACCGGAUAGGACCACUGACUGCAUGGUUGGUGGUGGAAAUCUGUUGCGGUGUGGGAUGGGCCCGCAGCCUAUCAGCUUUUGUGUGGGGUGAUGGCCUACCAAGGGGACGACGGGUAGCCGGCCUGAGAGGGUGACCGGCCACAGUGGGACUGAGAUACGGCCCAGACUCCUACGGGAGGCAGCAGUGGGGAAUAUUGCACAAUGGGCGCAAGCCUGAUGCAGCGACGCCGCGUGAGGGAUGACGGCCUUCGGGUAGUAAACCUCUUUCAGCACCGACGAAGCGCAAGUGACGGUAGGUGCAGAAGAAGGACCGGCCAACUACGUGCCAGCCGCCGCCGUAA
rnacentral:rRNA from 1 species